rnacentral:sRNA from 1 species
GAAAUGUGCCUUAGGGAGCACUGCUUGCCCUUGGGAGUCCAGGGAGGCUCCUGAGGGUGCACACAGUCACUAGUCUGUUUGUGACUCACAGGCAGAGGUGAUCAUGAACUACCAUGUCGGGGAGACGGUGCUGUCCUUACAGAAGACCACGCUGAUCCCCGGAGGCUCAGAAUCACUUGUCUAUACCACCUUGUCUGGAGGAAUUGGCAUCCUUGUGCCAUUCACGUCCCAUGAGGACCAUGACUUCUUCCAGCAUGUGGAAAUGCACCUGCGGUCUGAACAUCCCCCUCUCUGUGGGCGGGACCACCUCAGCUUUCGCUCCUACUACUUCCCUGUGAAGAAUGUGAUUGAUGGAGACCUCUGUGAGCAGUUCAAUUCCAUGGAACCCAACAAACAAAAGAACGUCUCUGAAGAACUGGACCGAACCCCACCUGAGGUGUCCAAGAAACUCGAGGAUAUCCGGACCCGCUACGCCUUCUGAGCCCUCCUUUCCCCGUGGGGCUUGCCAGAGACUGUGUGUUUUGUUUCCCCCACCACCAUCACUGCCACCUGGCUUCUGCCAUGUGGCAGGAGGGUGACUGGAUAAUUAAGACUGCAUUAUGAAAGUCAACAGCUCUUUACCCUUAGCUCUUCUCCUGGAAUGACUGGCUUCCCCUCAAAUUGGCACUGAGAUUUGCUACACUUCUCCCCACCUGGUACAUGAUACAUGACCCCAGGUUCCAGUGUAGAACCUGAGUCCCCCAUUCCCCAAAGCCAUCCCUACAUUGAUAUGUCUUGACUCUCCUGUCUACUUUUGCACACACCCUUAAUUUUUAAUUGGUUUUCUUGUAAAUACAGUUUUGUACAAUGUUAUCUCUGUGGGAGGAAGGAGGCAGGCUGUGGUGGGACUGGGUAGGGUAUAGUAUCACUCCUGAGUUCCACUGCUCUAGAAUCUAACCAGAAAUAGAAACCUAGUUUUUAAGGUGAC